rnacentral:rRNA from 1 species
UACGAAGGGGGCUAGCGUUGCUCGGAAUCACUGGGCGUAAAGCGCACGUAGGCGGAUCUUUAAGUCAGGGGUGAAAUCCUGGAGCUCAACUCCAGAACUGCCUUUGAUACUGGGGAUCUCGAGUCCGGAAGAGGUGAGUGGAACUCCGAGUGUAGAGGUGAAAUUCGUAGAUAUUCGGAAGAACACCAGUGGCGAAGGCGGCGACCUGGUCCGAUACUGACGCUGAGGCGCGAAAGCGUGGGGAGCAAACAGG